GUUGUACUGGUUGAAGGAUUCUGAAACAUAGUAAGAGAUACUCGAAGAGUGAAGAGCAGGCAUGGAGAAUGCAAAGGUGACAGAUACUGUUCCACAGCUAAGCCAAGGACAAAUCCUGAAAAUUAUGAAUAUGGUGAAGAAUAAGGAGCUGAGCAUCGAGGAAGCAUUGGAUUUAGCAGAAAAAGAAAAAAAUGUUGAAGAAAAAAACCAUAAUCUGCUGAACUUCAGUAUGGAUAAUCCGGACUUACCAGAUAGUUCGCAGUUCAACUUCAUUGUCUAUAAGUAUAACCGCUACCGAUGGCAGAAACGGAU
rnacentral:lncRNA from 1 species